rnacentral:rRNA from 1 species
AUUGAACGCUGGCGGCAGGCUUAACACAUGCAAGUCGAGCGAGCGGAGGCCGGGUGAGUAAUGUAUGGGAAACUGCCUGAGGGAGGGGGAAAACUAAUGGAAACGGUAGCUAAUACGGCAUACAAUCAGAUGUGCCCAGAUGGGAUUGGAGAGAAGGUGGGGUAAUGGCUCACCUAGGCGACGGUCCCUAGCUGGUCUGAGAGGAUGACCAGCCACACUGGAACUGGGACACGGUCCAGACUCCUACGGUAGGCAGCAGUGGGGAAUAUUGCACAAUGGGCGCAAGCCUGAUGCAGCCAUGCCGCGUGUGUGAAGAAGGCCUUCGGGUUGUAAAGCACUUUCAGCGAGGAGGCGUUACUCGCAGAAGAAGCACCGGCUAACUCCGUGCCAGCAGCCGCGGUAAUUC